rnacentral:rRNA from 1 species
GACGUAGGGCGCGAGCGUUGUCCGGAUUUAUUGGGCGUAAAGAGCUCGUAGGCGGCUUGUCGCGUCGUCCGUGAAAACCUGCAGCUCAACUGCAGGCUUGCGGUCGAUACGGGCAGGCUAGAGUUCGGUAGGGGGGACUGGAAUUCCUGGUGUAGCGGUGAAAUGCGCAGAUAUCAGGAAGAACACCCGUGGCUAAGGCGGCUCUCUAGUACGGUACUGACGCUGAGACGCGAAAGCGUGGGGAGCGAACAGG